CGGCCUUCGGGUUGUAAACCUCUUUCAGCAGGGAAGAAGCGAAAGUGACGGUACCUGCAGAAGAAGCGCCGGCUAACUACGUGCCAGCAGCCGCGGUAAUACGUAGGGCGCAAGCGUUGUCCGGAAUUAUUGGGCGUAAAGAGCUCGUAGGCGGCUUGUCACGUCGGAUGUGAAAGCCCGGGGCUUAGCCGCGGGUCUGCAUUCGAUACGGGCUAACUAGAGUGUGGUACGGGAGAUCGGAAUUCCUGGUGAAGCGGUGAAAUGCACAGAUAUCAGGAGGAACACCGGUGGCGAAGGCGGAUCUCUGGGCCAUUACUGACGCUGAGGAGCGAAAGCGUGGGGAGCGAACAGGAUUAGAUACCCUGGUAGUCCACGCCGUAAACGUUGGGAACUAGGUGUUGGCGACAUUCCACGUCGUCGGUGCCGCAGCUAACCCAUUAAGUUCCCCGCCUGGGGAGUACGGCCGCAAGGCUAAAACUCAAAGGAAUUGACGGGGGCCCGCACAAGCAGCGGAGCAUGUGGCUUAAUUCGACACAACGCGAAGAACCUUACCAAGGCUUGACAUAUACCGGAAACGGCUAGAGAUAGGUGCCCCCUUGUGGUCGGUAUACAGGUGGUGCAUGGCUGUCGUCAGCUCGUGUCGUGAGAUG
rnacentral:rRNA from 1 species